UGUUCUAGUAGUGAAUUUUUGUGAAGCUUUAAGUCUGCGCAUUGCUGAAGAAACACGGCCGUGUUUGCCGGGUCAUCCUAUGAACUCAAAUUUAAUUAAUGACAUUCAUUGGACAUUUGUUAG